UUCUGGCUCAGGAUGAACGCUGGCGGCGUGCUUCAUACAUGCAAGUCGAACGAGAAUUUGGAGCUUGCUCCAAAGGAAAGUGGCGGACGGGUGAGUAAUACAUAGGGAAUCUGCCCUUAGCUGGGGGACAACAGUUGGAAACGACUGCUAAUACCGCAUAUGAGCUAACCUGAAAUGGUUAUCUUGAAAACUCCGGUGGCUAAGGAUGAGCCUGUGCCUGAUUAGCUUGUUGGCGGGGUAAUGGCCCACCAAGGCGACGAUCGGUAGCUGGUUUGAGAGGAUGAUCAGCCACAAUGGGACUGAGACACGGCCCAUACUCCUACGGGAGGCAGCAGUAGGGAAUUUUGCGCAAUGGGCGAAAGCCUGAACCGCAGCAACGCCGCGUGUGUGAUGAAGCCCCUAGGGGUGUAAAACACUGUCAGUAGGGACGAAUUUUGACGGUACCUACAGAGGAAGCACCGGCUAACUCCGUGCCAGCCGCCGC
rnacentral:rRNA from 1 species